rnacentral:misc_RNA from 1 species
GAUGAAGAACGCAGCGAAAUGCGAUAAGUAAUGCGAAUUGCAGAAUUUCCGUGAGUCAUCGAAUCUUUGAACGCACAUUGCGCCCAUUGGUAUUCCGAUGGGCAUGCCUGUUCGAGCGUCAUUAUCCUCCCUCAAACCUCGGGUUUGGUGUUGGACCCAAGUUGUGCGAUGAACAACUGGUCUUAAAGACAAUGACGGCGUCCGUGGGACCCUCGAUGCAACGAGCUUCUCAGGAGCACGCGUCGAGUUUCAAGGACCUUCCGGGCCGGUCUCUCCUCAUGAUAUUACAAGGUUGACCUCGGAUCAGGUAGGGAUACCCGCUGAACUUAAGCAUAUCAAUAAGCGGAGGA